AAAUCAACUCUCAAAUACAUUAUCAAGGUAUGUUGGUCCAACUUUUUUUUUAUAGUGUUAACAUGCAUGUUAAAAGUGCAGUUUCAGCCAGACUAGCAUGCAUUUUAAAAGUGGAGGUACAAUCAGACUAUUCCAAUAAAUCGCCUUUUUUAUGUGCAGAGCUGGCUCGUCUGCCUUUUACGUGGAAACUGUACAAACGGAGCAUUUCUCCAGUUGCUUAACCAACACCUACUCCCUCACACCAGUUUCAGGCAUCAAAAAUUACAAUUCAAGAAUCACCACUUGUGUCGCUUUUUGCUUUUGGAUAUCAUGAAAAAGCAUCGAUAUAAGGCCCCGUUUAUACGUGCCUGGUCAUUUAAAAAAAACAGAGACAUUAACCAUCAUCUGCACCCGUCAUUUAUACGCAAACAGAGAAUUGGACCCUGAAAAUGAUGCUUUUUGAAAACUCCGUCCAGAGUGGAGAUUUUGGAAAACUGGAGGAAAAAAGAGACUUGGGUUGCCGACUGCAGAUCAUGCACAGGAAAGAAGGAAGGGACGUUGUUGUUGUUGCUAUGCAGGAUUCUGAUUGGCUAACGUGGGCUUGAGCUUCUCGCUACACUGACUUUAAACUUUAAAAGCCACUCCUUUUAUAUAACAUUGUUUUCAGUAUUUUGAGUAUUAGAUAUUCUGCACCGAAGGGGUAAGAGUUUAAUGUCACUCAGUAAAGUUUCUAUAGGUUCUGUUAUAAUUGUAACCUUGCAGCGUGUGCAAUCCCAUCUGGAUGAACCGUUUCCAAUCAAAACUCAAUUCUGCAUUUGAUUGAUUCAGGCCGUGCAUGAAAUGAUCGAAUCAAUGACUUUUUCAUUAUCAUAUACUGAUCAGUGAUUGGUUUAUUUUCCUGUUAGACUUUAAUAAGUAAGUAGGAACAAUUCUGUCACCGUCGGUGAAAAUCAGCUUAUUUCCAUUUUCCCUCAGAGCAGAGCUUUGGAAUUGACGGAAAUUGGUUUGUUGUGAUCAUAACUGCCCCCAAGUGACUGUAUAGGCUGUCAUUUUCCUGUAAGAGGGAAGGAGAGACAGAGGGGGAGAGAAGCAGAGGACCACCGACUGUAUUUGGCUCAGAGGGGGACGUCAUCAGUCAAUUUAAAUCAAUUUCAAUUUGGUAAAAUGAGGAUUCAGAAAUGGCACACUUUGUUAACAUCUUAAAUUUCAGUUAGAGCUGUGGUUCUUAAAGAUGAUUUUCUACGAGUCUUUGCAGCAGGGAGUAGGAAUCACAAUGAUGAACUCUCUCAAGGAUCGUAGUGAGGCAUUAAAGUUUAAUUUUUUACUCACGAUCAGAAUUAAAAAUGUAUGUUUUUCUUUACAAUGUGUGCUCCUUCUGCAUGCAUGAUGAAUACUGCCUCCUGUUCUUACCAGCUCCCUCUGUGUGGACUGCUGCUGUACUACUCUAUGCACAGUGUGUCUAUCUGAAUUUUCCAACAUUUCACCUUUUAUAUUAAAGCAGAACACCUCGUAACAGAGACUCAUAUUCUGCUUCACAACCUGAACUCUCCGAGGAGAGCUUUCCUCCUCAUAUCUGAGUCUGGCUGCAGGUUUAUUUUUUUUCUUUCCACUUGGCAUCAAGAGCAUUAGGGGGUCGAUCACUGGUGUCGGUGUGAAGACCUGUCACGCUCCAGUUUACCCCUGAGGUGUUGGAUGAGGUUAAGGUCAGGACUCUGUGAAGAUCCGCUGAAUUCUGUCACAACAAAAUAGAAAAAUUCAGACAGACUUCAACCUGAAACCAGAUAGUAGAAAAAGACGCUUCUGUCUGGAGUUUGAUUUUUCCAACCAGGGUUUAAUACUCGCCUGUAGGAGAAAUUCUGGCUGUUUGGUCUGAUAAACCCUGAAUUUGGUUUGAAGGUAUUAAUUUUAUUCCCAAAAUGAACAAAUUCUGUGAUUAAAAAAAAAAACCCAACCUCGAGCAGAGUUUGGGGACAGACUGUUUCAAUGAUACUGUGAAAGAUGAUCUUGACAUGAAAUGAUGACCGCGACCCAUAUUACUUCUCUGUCCUUUCCUCUAACUUAAGGUCAUAGAUUGUAUACAGAGUGAGCGCCGUCUGCCUCCUCGCUGGGUGAAGCCACCCCGCGAACAGCACCCUCUGGUGACAAGCUGCAGUAUAGAUCAUAAGUCCCGUCUCCUCUAGCAAUCCCUAUGGAGCUGUGGACAAACUUUAGAAAUUUAUUACACAGAAUAAAAAUGUUUCUCCCCCCUAGUUGCGAAGUUGACAUGUAGUUACUGUAAGACUGGUUUGUACUUAAGUCCUCUUUUUUUCUGUGCAGCUCCAUUUUUAAAAGUUAUAAGGGGGGUUCAUGUUUCAUGUCAUGUUCAUGUCAUCACAGCGACUCUUGGCGACUCUCCCGCCAGAUGCGUACAAUGCUGCUUUGCAAUGUUGGUUUCAGGAAGUGGAGAAAAAUUGCGGAAAUACGGAGAACUUUUCGGCUUCAAAUCUGUGUACUGGUUUAAGGCGGAACCAAGUUGUCCAAAGUAUAUACAGUCUAUGCUUAAAAGUGGGCUAGGCAGGAAUCCGUUAAAGAAGCAUCUUUUUUUGUGGUGUAUAUACAAAAAAGCUUUUAAUAUCAGUCAAUAGCCAUUGGUUAUUGAUGACAUUUGGUAAUAUAAUGAUAUCGCUGUGUUUUGUUAUGUCUGUGUAGUCAACAUUUCGAGUUUUUGGAGCAGCCCGCUCUUUCUGACUAAACAAAGCUGUUCUCCGCCUACCCAACCUGAUUGGUUGUGAGGUAGACGCUGCUCCCCAGUGUCGUUCAUGAGCCCAAACAAAGUUAGCGUGCUACAAUAUCGGGGGCAGAGAAGGAGGGGAGAGGAGGAGCUGAGAGGAAAAUUGGUUGGGAGGGGUAGAGUUUACAUUCAAGAUUUCUCCUAAAAACUGUCACUUCCUCAGAUCCUGCCUACCCCACCUUUAAGGCACUAAAGGAAGUCUUGACUCGGCCUAACAGACAACUUGUACUAACUAGGACCUCUGAUUAAACUCUUGCAAGUUAAAAGAAAAUUAAUUCCAUUUAUUUUACGUGUUUGUGCUCAAAAUUUGAAGUUGUUACAGCCUCAGCAGAAGAUGUGAUUUUCAGUGUUUUUCUUGCAUUCAUACCUGUCUUCCUCUUCACCGCUCUAAAGUCCAAUAGAGGCAAACAAAUAAAAAGCCUACAAACCUGAAAAAAAAAGAAACAGAGCCAAGCUAUUUGCUUUUAUGUACAGUCAGAGGUAAACAGUUGUAGAACACCUGGUAUUAGCAUAAUGUCAUUCAGUACAAUGGCCCCGCAGUCAGAGAGCUCGUCCCUGCCAUCCCUGGAGAAGAGGCGGUAAUGAGAAGCACAGAGAGCAGGUAAUGAAGGGACGAGCACGGAGAAACUUCAUAUUCACGCCUCAUUCUCCCCCAAACAGCAACAGUGUCCACACAAGCAGAUAAACAACAUCAGAAUAAGGAAACUGGCCUCAGUGCUGAAAUGUUUUUCUUUUCUUCACCUCUGAGGUUGCAGCUGUUAAAUGGACCGUCCUCUUGUUUCCUCCUGUUGUCAUUACAAACUGACGGUCUAUAUCCACAACAUAAAACAUCUCUGUGUUGUUUAGCCGUGAAAGACAGAUUGGUUCUCGCUGUCUUUCAUUUCCUGAGCAUCCUUUACUCUGUUCCAAGGUUCCGCUCGUCUCUUGCGGACAGCGACUUGGAAAAUAUGUCGACUAAUUAGCGAUCUCCGAGGAAUAAAGUGAAGGUUGGGAGAAAUGAAACAUACUCCUCUAAAAUAAUUGGACUAAGUGUGAUGGCUUCCUGGUACACCGCUGCUCUGAGGCAAUAAAAAAAAGAGGUGUGUCUCCUUCACCUUUUUCAUGUUAGUUGAUCUUGUAUUUUACAGAUAGUGAAAGAUCGAUCUUGUUUGUUCAUCAGCGGUGAGAGAUAUAGUCAAGAUAAAACGGCCUCUUGUUAUCAGUAGCUGCACAUGUUUGGUACUUUUUCCUUUCGCCCUCAAGUGAUGUGGUGAGCCACGUCGGUUUUACUGCCCCAGAGAGACCAGAAAACAAUCUGUAUAGGAGAUCCAAGUGCCCUUAGAUGCCUUUGUUUUAUCCCUUUGGGCUUAUUGAUUUCCUGAAACAAUUCUUUUCCUCGCUAACCUUAAAUAGUUCUGCUUUGUAAAACAAACAUAAAUGGAUGCCACUAAGACAUCACCUACUGGUAUAUCAGCUGUGUAAGUGAGGCUUAAUCAGCAUUAAACCAUAGGCUACGUUUUUAAUCACAGUUAAAGCUGCUGUCAGGAGUUUUUGACAUUUAUGACACAGACUGAAAUUCAUAAUAAUGCUUUUUUAUGAUAUGCAGAAGCAAACAAGAACACCAGUGACAAAUUUAACAGCUUUUUUAGUGUAAUUCUUAAUGCCUGAAACAGAGUGUAAGGGGGUUGGUGUUAGCAGUGCAGCUGAGGAAACAACCCUAUUUUUUUACAUUUUCAGCAUAAAAUAUUCACAAAAAUAACACAAAAGUCAGUAACAUGACAUUUUACUGCAGUGGGGUGACGCAGCUCAAGGAAGAACAUUUAAAAAGCUGCUUCACUGACAUAUGAUCAUAAAUGUUCUUCCUUGAGCUGCGUCACCCCACUGCAGUCUGUAAUGGACUGGCCCAAGGUCUCGCUACAAACAAGCGGCUGCUGAAAGAGAGUAGGUGAGUUGUGUUUAGUCUCUUGUUUGACCCUAAAUUAAUUUUACGCUGGAAUAUCCCUAUAAAUAUUACAAUUUUGAUAUUCAUAAAUCUUGUUGCUGAUGCUUUUAUUGGCUCUUAGAUACCAUGAAAAGGCCUCAAAGUGAAUUUUUUUUUUUUUUUUUGCUAAUUUCAUGAACAAAAAAAAAGAUUUUAACAGGAGCUUUAAAAUUAAAUAAACUUAAAUGAGAUGCUUACAGGAGUCCCAAAAAUGCUAAGUUGAAUGAAUGCAUCCUCCAAGCCCAGCUUUAAAAACAUUGAAAAAAAGAAAACUGAAAUUUACUUACUGCACAAUAAAACUAAUUUGAAAAAGUACCUCAGUGUUUUUCAAAUGCAUUUCCUGAGUUUUGGCUCUACAGGUCACCAUCGCGUGUACUUUCUUUCAUUCCUCAGGCUGAGACAGUCCAUCCAGCUCAUUUUCUCUGCGAUCCGUUAUCCUGCCUCCUGGAGAGCUGCCUUGUUGAAUCAUCAUGAGCGCCUACAGAACAGUAGGUAAUUCACAUCUAACACUUUCAGCAUUUUCCUUUUUUUUUCUCCCUUUCAUUUUCUUGUUUUCGACAAAAAGGAGCAGGAGGCUUCUUGGUGGCAGAGACAUGCCCACACAUGCGACGGGUCAUUUACUCCUUGACAGCUCAUCACCUCCACGUCACUACAGCAACAGAUGCCUUCAGUGUCAGAGAAGCAGCUUUUUAAUAGCCUGUUACAGUGAAACAAUUAUCUUCUCUCCUGAUUUCUUUUUUUAAAAGAGGGUUUAAUAGUUUUCCUUCAAAAUUACCCAUCCAUUUUAAAAAGCCUUAGAAAGAGGAGUCCUUACUCUGCUGUUACCAUCGUCGAGAGGUUGAAGGUGUAAAUUAACUGUGGUAGAGGUGGCUUGGUGAAGAUGGUGAAGUAGAAGUGUUUGAGGAUGUGAGGUGACAGUGUGGCUUUCUGGUGCUGCACUUAAUACCUGAGGCCCUGCAGAGGUUUUUGCCCAGGUAAUGUCGAGUAUGACCUUUUAUAUGAUGAAAUCCGUACAGGAUACUGUCCAACCACAGCAUUGUGAGAUGCCUCAUCUGGAGCAUGUCUGAUCUCUGGAAUUUGGGCACUUUGAUACUAUUUGAAGAAGAAGUUAGGAUUUUUUUUCCUAAUUUCUUCUCAAUGCCGAACCUGCCACUGCACUGAUUUCCAGUGAGGGCCAUUACACAUAAGGUUGUAUUGUUAGAAUAAACAGAUCCAGCAAUGCAAAGUUGAAAAAUAAACUCUUUUUUUCUUUUUGUAUAAACGGCAGUAGGCCUUUUAUUGACCCUUGUGGGACACCGUUGCUAAAGGGAACUGAUUUGUAUGUAAAAAAGAGGUUUGCUUGUGUAGAUGGAGCACGGUGCACUCCAUCUUACAGCAGGGGGCGCUGUACCAGUUUACCUAUAGCUUUGAUUGAUAGGCGGCAUCGCGCCGCUAUAAAGUGCAGCUGUAGCAUGCGCGCCCCUCUGCUUCCGGACAUGAUUUUUUUUUUUUUUUUUUUUUGUAGGAUGGUAGGAGAAAGUCCCACCUCCUUCGCCUCUGAUUGGCUAGAAAAGCUGGAAACAUCACACAUGCUCAAGCCGAGCGCGGGCUCUCGUCACUGCACAUCGAACAGAACAUUAUUGCAAUUCUGAAUCUCCUAACUCUAACAUGACAGAUGAUGAUGUUUCACAGCCAUAAGGAAUAACCAAUCGGAGCCCAGCCAUUCUAGCAAACCAGAGGGGAAGGAGGCGGGACCUUACCCUAUUAUCUUACAAAAAAUAUAUAUUGCGGACAGCGCGUAAGGAGCUGGCGUGGUGUGGCUGGGCUGCUGGUGUGUUGGCCAUUGAGAUGUUUGUUUCCCUCCGCGGCCCACAGGUAACAUGUGCACCGCUGCUUCCUUUACCCAUUUAAUGUGCAGAUUUGCGUAAUGGUGACACAAUCUUUCUCUUGGAACAGCUUGGCAGGCUGCUGGUGGCGUUGGGCCGGGUUGCCCCGCUGAGAGUUCUCCGGUGCAUUGCUGUCUUGUGCCUGUUGGUGUGUCUGUGCAAACUGCUGCUCCUUUCACCCAUUCAAUGUACUAAUUUGCGUUAUGGUGACACGGUCUUCCUCUCGGUACAGCUGCUGGUGGCAUGGGGCCGAGGCGCCCUGCUGGAAACCCUUCUGGGUGCAUCUGUGUCUCCAGGCGUCUUACGCCACUCUGCUUUGAAUGUGAUGCAUUUCUUUUGCCAACUUUGUUGAGUUUGUUUAUAUUAGACAUUAAAUUGUCUUUUGGGUUUAUCUUGUUUGUCCUUAUUGCUUUAUUGUUGCUUUGUGAUUGUUAAUUUGUGUUUUGUGUUUAACAAAUUACCCGCAUGAAGCUCUGUGGCCUGUUUUAAUUCUCCCUUUUCUUUUGGAUAGGUGCUGCAGGCUCAAGGUGGCAACCCAGGACCCUGGUGGUGGGUUUUCCUCUUUGGCCACCACGGAAAGCUCCAGCCCUAUCCUAGGGUUUUCUUUUGUUUGUCCAUUCGGCUGUAGUAAUUUAAGUAUUUCAGUUGAUGUAGGUGUUUUGAAGUUAC
rnacentral:lncRNA from 1 species